rnacentral:misc_RNA from 1 species
CAAAAGAAAGGACGAGUCAAGGUUUGGGUGCUGCAGCUGAGUAUGCCAAAGAGAAGGGUGCUCAAACAAAAGACUCUGUCCUUGAAGGAACUCAACGAACAUCACAACAGAUUGCGGAGAAGGGAGCGCAGGCAAAAGACACUGUCCUUGAAGGGGCUGGAAAGACUACCCAGUAUGCUGCAGAGAAGGGUUCCCAAGCUAAAGAUUCCUUAGUUGAAGGGGCCCAAAAGACGUCUCAACAAAUGGUAGAGAAGGGCUUUAGGGCAAAAGACACCGUACUUGAAGGUGCUCAAAAGAUCACCCAGUAUGUUGCAGAGAAGGGUUCCCAAGCAAAAGACACUGUAGUUGAAGGGGCUCAAAAAACUUCACAGUAUGCUAAAGGAAAGGCGGCUGCUGCUAAAGAAGCGACUGGGGAAGUGAGCGACAGGGCUGCUGUGACUGGUUGGACCGCAGCGCAUUACACCACGGAAAAAAACGGUGGAGGGGACCAAGGCAGCAGCGAGAGCCGUUCAGGGAGUGACAGAGAAAGCUGCGGAGCUCGCAUCCAAGCCUUUCAGCGUUGCUAAGCAAGCUGCUACAUCUAUUGGUGAGAGCAUGGAGGAGUAUACUGCUAGGAAGAAAGAGGAGGCAGAGAAAGGACUGGAAGCCAGGAAAGCACCUGAAGGACAGGUAUGCUACCAGAUAAUGUCAUGCCGGUUGAAUUAUUUAGUACCCAGUCCUCUUUUCGAGUUCUUAUGAUAGUUCUUUUAUCAUUUUAAGAUCAACACUAGUCUUUACUGAUUUCAAUUUUCUUGCCUCGACUUGUAUCCAUGUUUCCAUCUUGGGUCCAUUAUGUUCAGCAAGAAAAAUCCUUCACACAUGUAGCUUUCAUAAACUUUAUACCUACCAUUGACCAACUAGCGUCCAAUGAGAUUUUAAUUGAUGCUCUUGCAAGUGGGAAAAAAAAUUGAGUAACCAACUUCAUCAUAUUCAAUUAAACAUGUAGAAUGAGGACUAUUUCAUCUCAAUGUUGUCGUCCUCAUUCCCCAAUAGCUAAUCGUAUCUAUAUGAUUUGGAUACAAGCGUAUUUCCCUUCUAGCAAUUACUGUUUAAUUGUUGAACAAUUAAGGAUAAUGGGAGAGUUUCCAGGAUGGAGACUACACAGAAGAAUCACAGGUUCGUUCUACAGGAAGAGAAGGGGGGGAACAAGAGGCCGAACCAACUGAGAGCAUCAGCAAGAAAGUCUAUCCGGAAGCCUCAGAAGAAGAACAACAAGAGCAUCAUCAAUGGCAGCAGCAAAGGGGACGCAGCUUACUCGGUGCCAUUAGCGAAACUAUAGCUGAGAUUGCUCAGACAACCAAAGAGCUUCUUAUUGGACCGAGCCAACCUAUAGCACAGGACUAUGCUGGAUAUGAAGCAAACCAAACCCAAUAUAGCAAGGAAGAAGAACACAAAAGCAGAGGAUAAGUUAAAAGUUUAAUUAGGAUUUUGGUGGCCUCUCCUUUUAGCCACCAAAUUAAGCAGAUAAAUAUGUUACAUGCUUUGUUGAAUGGGUUGAUGGGUACAGGUGACCUUUUUGCUGGUUUUCUGCUUUAUAUAUGUGAUUUUGGACUGUUGAUUAACUUUUGAACUUCCUGUAUUCUUUUCCUAAUUAUAUGUUUCAGCACUACUCGGUUGACGAUGGUGCAGUUUUCCCAUUGCACGAAUAAAUUUUGAGACCAUGUUUUGCAGCAGUAGAUAGAAAUAAAAUGUAAUGGAAUAAUUCAGCUUUUCCUAGAAUCCCAUUUAAACUACCUACCUGAGCUCCUUCAAUUAGCCUUUCUAUCCAGCAAUUGGCAAAUGCAAGGUACAUCAAUUCUGCUUGAUAAUAAACUAUUGACUUGCAAUUCUCUGAAUCAGCUCCAACCACACGGAUAUUAAGGGAGGUUUAAAAAUCAUGCCUGAAUUGCAUCUACUUGAUUAACGAAGUACUAACAAGCACCUUAGGACAGGCUUGCCUGAGGAAAGGAAAUGUCGGGAAGCAUAGCCAAAAGAUGGAUGCUGCUAAGCGGAAUAGAAAACUGGAACCACCACCCUUUCCCUCUAGAUAUAGAUCUUCGUCAAUACACCAUUCACUAUGUUGAGACGGCUCAAGCUGCCUAUGACACUUUCAAUUCAGAAAGAGCAUCAAAAAGUGCAGGAGACUGCAGAUAUUCGAUGAAGAAUCUAUUUUCCAGGGCUGGUCCAGUCCAUUAAAGUACGGAGCUGUCAAGUACCUUAUGCAAUCUCUGAAAUUGAAAGUUGCGUUCUGCUAGAUUGUGAAGUUAUACUCUGUUAAGAAGUUGACUUAGCUACUGCACUUCCUAUUUAGCUGCUGU